AGGUGAAACGUCAAGAAUGACUAAAAGCCAACAUUCAAGAAGACAGCAUCUGCAAACAAGUGUUGAUCCCAAGUGUAAUCCUAGGGAACCCGACUUAAGGCCUCCCCAUCUGAAGAACACAAUCUCAAGGAAGAAUUUAAGGGGAAACCUGUCUACACAGUUUGACUUUCUGUAAAGAACUGAAAUCAGAACUGGAAGAGGUCUUAGAAAUCAUCUAGUCCGACCACCUCCUUUGACAGAUGAGGAAGAACACAUGUUCCUCCUUAGAUUUCAAUGCUAAUGGGGAAGAAGAAGGUGCCUAAAAACAAGGAGGGAAAAUCAUUCAAGACAUCUCCAGGACAGCUCCACAAAUAGAGGGGCCUCCAAUUGACCAGAGGAAUCUUCAACUCACCUAGAGCAAAGGUUCAGAAGAUGAAAGGGCUUUCACCUCAGCAAAGUGGAACUGAUAUUGUGGGAGAGUUAUUGAGUAAUAGACCCUCAUCCUCACAUCAAACAUCCCUAACCUUGCCAGACACCAGCCUCUCCCAGACAGCUCACUGAAGAAGAGGUCCAACCAAGACCAUGGCUGGAACCUGGAUGCUCUGAACAGGUGAUGGCAACAAUGAGGUCUCUGGGGAGGAGUAAGGAUAUGUGUGUGUGUGUGUGUGUGUGUGUGUGUG